rnacentral:rRNA from 1 species
AGUGAACGCUGGCGGUAGGCCUAACACAUGCAAGUCGAACGGCAGCACAGUAAGAGCUUGCUCUUACGGGUGGCGAGUGGCGGACGGGUGAGGAAUACAUCGGAAUCUACUUUUUCGUGGGGGAUAACGUAGGGAAACUUACGCUAAUACCGCAUACGACCUACGGGUGAAAGCAGGUGAUCUUCGGACCUUGCGCGAUUGAAUGAGCCGAUGUCGGAUUAGCUAGUUGGCGGGGUAAAGGCCCACCAAGGCGACGAUCCGUAGCUGGCCUGAGAGGAUGAUCAGCCACACUGGAACUGAGACACGGUCCAGACUCCUACGGGAGGCAGCAGUGGGGAAUAUUGGACAAUGGGCGCAAGCCUGAUCCAGCCAUACCGCGUGGGUGAAGAAGGCCUUCGGGUUGUAAAGCCCUUUUGUUGGGAAAGAAAAGCAGCAGGUUAAUACCCCGCUGUUCUGACGGUACCCAAAGAAUAAGCACCGGCUAACUUCGUG